GAGAGAGGCUGAGGAGUACGUACCAAGGGACAGUUUGUGAGACUCUGGUAGGUCCGUGACUGAGGGCACCCUUGUGGGAUGCUGAGUGUAGCCAUCAGGAAGCUGGGUCCCAGCCAACUCAGCCUGGGCUCUGCCGUUCUCCAGUGGUCAGAUAAGAAAGAGCGGUGUGGUCCUCUAAGGGAGUGAGCGAGCCCCUCCCUCCCCACUGCUGAUAUAACAGCAUGAAAUUAAACCUAUUCCAGUCUGUGACAUCUGAUCCCUUUGACAUGACAUAGUACAACCUGUAGAGCCAGAGGUGGGGGCCAGGAAGCCCUGUUCUAGUCUCUCUGCACAACCUUGAGCCAUCUCAUCAUCUGCACAUCUGCCUGAACCUCAGUCUCCCACUCUGGACGUUGUCGGGGUGAUGGAGCAAGCAUUCAGUUAUUCUCUGCUGGAUUCUGAUGUGGUCUAAAGUCCACACUUUGUUGUGAAACACCGCAAUCUGUGAUGUACAGAACCUAUUACUGCGGCCACCCAGGAAUGCUGGGGGCAGGCCUUUUGAGAAGGUGAAUCAGCGUGUGUUAGCUCAGGGCAGAGGGCCUGGCGGUGAGACGUGAGAACAGCCAAUGUCAUGGCGGUGGGGGAGUGGACGUGAGCCAUCUGGGGCCCAGCAAACAGCAUGUUGAAAAAAACGAGGAACUCAAAGGCAGAUGAGCCUACCACGCUGGGAACAGUUGGGAGUACAUUGCUCAAGCCCCGGCCAGUUUUAUGUCACUGCUGGUGUGAAGCAGUGAACAGUGACCCAGCAUGCAUCCAGGUGGCGGGACAGAGUCAGACUCUCCAGGGCAGAGAGACUCUAAAACUGACGGCCAGGUCUUGCUCAGACUACGGGCCUGAGGGAAGAUCCAAGACUGAAACAGGUGCCGGAGAUUACAUCCAGGUUGCUGGUCUUGGUGGUGAACAAUACCCUUGCUUACCCCCAAGCCUUCUCACUAACCCUGACGCUCUUUAUACAGGGCUUGGAAUGGAGGGGGUGGAGUUGAGGAGAUCACAGAGGACCUAGGAGUGUGUGUAUCGGAGAGAGAUAGGAAACCACUGACCGUUCAGCACACAUUCAGAAUUACUGCCUGUCCCAGGGAGGGACCCACAGCUCCGGCGCUCCGUUCAGCAUCUGGAAGAGCAUAGCUCGCUGUGAGCGGCCGCCCCAGAAGACUGUAUCCCACCCAGCCAGCUCUCCUGCCUGCUUGCCUCUGCCCCACACCAGGACACUUCAUACUGUCAGAACCACUGGGUGUGUGAGCUUGUGAGAGGGUGUGUGGGCACACAUGUCCCUGUGUGGGGUGUGGAGGUCAGAGGGCAACUUGGAGGAAUUGGUUCUCUCCUUCCACCACUGGGGCCCAGGAAUCAAGCCGAGGUUCCCAGACGUGGUAGCAGCCUCCCUUACCUGUUAAACCAGUGCUUCCCAGACUUCCUAAUGCUGUGACCUCAUGCUGUGCUGACCCCCGCCCAUGACAUUAUCUCUGUUGGUAUUUUAUAACUGUAAUUUUGCUACUAUUAUGAAUCACAAUGUAAAUGUCUGUUUUCUGA
rnacentral:lncRNA from 1 species